GGGGGCAUAGCUCAGCUGGUCGGAGCAUCGGCUUUGCAAGCCGAGGGUCAGGGGUUCGAAUCCCCUUGCCUCCA
rfam:Spirochaeta coccoides DSM 17374, complete genome.